rnacentral:rRNA from 1 species
CCUGCCCAGUGAGUUAUUUUAACGGCCGCGGUACUCUGACCGUGCAAAGGUAGCAUAAUCAUUUGCCUUAUAAUUGAAGGCUAGUAUGAAUGGUUUGACAAGAGUAUAGCUGUCUCUUUGUAAUUCUAUAGAAUUUUAUAUUCAGGUGAAGAAGCCUGACUUUAAUUAAAAGACGAGAAGACCCUAUCGAGCUUGAAAAAAGUUAAUAGAUUAUUUGUUUAUAUAACUAAAAAUCUCUCUAUUAAAAAUUUUAGUUGGGGUAACAGAGGAACAAAAAAAGCUUCCUCUAAAUUUAAAUAUCUCACAAGUAAUGAUCCAAAAGUUUUGAUUAAAGAAAUUAGUUACCGUAGGGAUAACAGCAUUAUCUUUUUUAAGAGUUCUUAUCGAAAAAGGGAUUUGUGACCUCGAUGUUGGACUAGAAUAUCCUAAAGAUGCAGCAGUCUUUAAAGGUUGGUCUGUUCGACCAUUAAAAUUCUACGUGAUCUGA